GGGUGUAUAGCUCAGUUGGUAGAGCAGCGGACUUUUAAUCCGUAGGUCUUGGGUUCGAGCCCCAAUACACUCA
rnacentral:tRNA from 1 species